CCUACGGGUGGCAGCAGUGGGGAAUAUUGCACAAUGGGGGAAACCAUGAUCCAGCGACGCCGCGUGAACGAUGAAGUAUUUCGGUAUGUAAAGCUCUAUUAUCCGGGAAGAAAAUGACGGUACCUUACUAAGAAGCCCCUGCUAACUACGUGCCAGCAGCCGCGAUAAUACGGAGGGGGCACGCGUUAUCCGGAUUUACUGGGUUUAAAGGGAGCGUAGACGGUUCUGGAAGCCAGGUGGUAAAGCCCGGGGCUGAACCGCAGGAGUGCAGUUGAAACUGUAAGGCUAGAGUGUAGGAGAGGUAGGCGGAAUGCGUGGUGUAGCGGUGAAAUGCGUAGAUAUGAGGAAGAACACCAGUUGCGAAGGCAGCUUGCUGGACGAUGACUGACGUUGAGGCUCGAAAGCGUGGGGAUCAAACAGGAUUAGAUACCCUGGUAGUC
rnacentral:rRNA from 1 species